UAGGGAAUAUUGGUAAUGGGUGAGAGCCCGAACCAGCAACGCCGCGUGCGCGAUGAAGGCCUUCGGGUUGUAAAGCGCUUUUUAAGGGGAUGAGGAAGGACAGUACUCUUAGAAUAAGCCUCGGCUAACUACGUGCCAGCAGCCGCGGUAAAACGUAGGAGGCGAGCGUUAUCCGGAUUUACUGGGCGUAAAGCGUGUGUAGGCGGUUUGAUAAGUUGGAUGUGAAAGCUCGCGGCUCAACUGGGAGAGGUCGUUCAAAACUAUCAGACUUGAGAGUGGUAGAGGGGGGUGGAAUUCCGCGUGUAGUGGUGAAAUGCGCAGAGAUCCGGAGGAACACCAGUGGCGAAGGCGGCCUCCUGGACCACUCCUGACACUCAGACGCGAAAGCUAGGGUAGCAAACG
rnacentral:rRNA from 1 species